UCGAGAAUCUUCGGCAAUGGGCGCAAGCCUGACCGAGCGAUGCCGCGUGCGGGAUGACGGCCCUUGGGUUGUAGACCGCUGUCAGAGGGGAUGAAGGGCGUAUGCAGAAUGCGUCUUGACAAAGCCUCAAAGGAAGCCCGGGCUAAGUACGUGCUAGCAGCCGCGGUAACACGUACUGGGCGAACGUUAUUCGGAAUCACUGGGCUUACAGGGUGCGUAGGCGGCCGACCAGGACGGAUGUGAAAGGCUUCAGCUCAACUGAGGCAUUGCGUUCGAAACCGGCCGGCUUGAGUCAGCUAGGGGCAUGUGGAACUUCCAGUGGAGCGGUGAAAUGUGUUGAUAUUGGAAGGAACGCCGGUUGCGAAAGCGACAUGCUGGGGCUCGACUGACGCUGAGGCACGAAAGCCAGGGGAGCGAACGGGAUUAGAUACCCCUGUAGUCC
rnacentral:rRNA from 1 species